CCAGCCUAGGUGCAGGCAUGUCCUGGGUGCUGGGGGCUUCUUCCAUCAAGGCAGCCCUCCCCUGCCCCAGACCGUGGGGUGCCCACCACCAGCUGCCCCCGUUCCCUCCCUUGCGUCUCCCACAGGAGGAGCGGGGAGGAACCGUGCUCGGGGCAGCCUCCGGAGCGAAAGCAGGGCUUGGGCCUUGUCUGAGUUCGAAUCCCGCUCGGGGCCUCAGCUUCCACAGCGCAGUGAUCCUGAGGGUCAGAGGCCACAGCAUUGUGCCUGCAGGGCUCAGCCUCCCCCCCCCCCCCCCCCCGCCCCACGCCUGAUCAAAGCCCUGGAAUCCAGCAGAGGUUUUCAACGCCUGCUGCCCUCCGCGAAACCCCACAGCUGUUUACAAGCCUGGGGUCUGCUUUCAAUCACUCUUUCUCUGUGGAGAUCAGCUGGGCUCCAGAACGUUUCCGGAUGUGUGAGAAGCAGGCCAGGCCUUGCUCAGGGACCUGAGGGAUCCCAGAGCCUCAGUGUCCUCAUCUUUAAAAUGGAGGUCAUGCCCUCUUCUCCCAGAUGACAAGUUCAAGAUGGGUCCCAGGAGUCAAGGUGCAGGCAAGAUUAAGCCUCGCAUGAGAGACAAGUCUUUCAUCUUAGACAGGAGCCACAGUUUGGAGAGGAAGAAGGGGUCAUGAUAAGAAACCUCCAGGAAGAUCACAGUGACCUAUAAUCGUUCGUCCCUCUCUGACCCAUGGCAGGCGGGCUGUGCUGGCCCCCCUCUUCCACAGCUCUCCGAAGACUGUGACUGGGUCUGACCUAUCUUUGUGCCACCUCAGUACCCAGCACAGGGCACAACAUCUUCUAGAUAUGUUGGACGGAGCCAAGCUUCCUAUUUAUGAGAUGCAAAAUCACUUAUCAACAUCAAUGCUGAUUGCUAUCCCAACAUGAAGAGUGCAGCGCCCAGGGCUCCUCUUCAGGUCCCAGCUUGGACUCACGAUGUUCUGAGCUCCAAUCCCCCCUAUGCUGCUGAUACCACGAUGUCUGCUGUCCCUGGACCUCUUGGGAUCUGAAAGCUCCCGAACGAUGGCGGCGAUUUUCUCUGUAAACUCUAUCCCUGCAAUUCCAACCUCUACCACCAGGUGGCAGCUAGGAUUACAGAAAUUUAUCAAAACUAGCCUAAUUUCUAAAACUAUACUUCUAAUGAAAAAUACCCUAAAUUAAAACAAGAUACACACACACAUAUGUAUUAUUGUAUUGGCAUAGAUUUAAAAGUAUGAUAAUACCCACAGUUGGGCAGAGCUUGGGGGAACAUGCAGCCUUCACAUGUUCUUGGUGGAAAUGUAAAUUAGCACGGCCUCCUGGAGGGCAAUUUGGCAAAAGACAUCAAAAGCCUCACACACGUGUAAACCCUUUGGUCUAGCAGUUCAACUUCUAGACAUUUAUUCUAAGGACAUAAUCAUGGAAAUAAACCUACAUUUAUUCCUAGGAUGUUGACUAUGAGGGUGAAAAAUUGUCAAUAUAAAUAAUAUAACUUGGAGACCAGUUAAACACAUUAUAUAUAAUAUAAUAAACAUGAUAAAAUAUGACAUAGCUAUUACAUUCUAUAAGAAUUCUUAAUGAUGUGGAAAAAUGUCAUGCUAUAUUAAGUGAAAAAAACAGGCUACAAGAAUGUAUGUCCACUGUAAUCCCAUUUUUUAAAAUAACAAAUAUAAAAGCAAACUUGCACAUAAAAAAUGUUGGAAGAAGAAAUACUAAAAUAUUGAGCAGACUUAUCUGUGGGUGGUAGGAUUAUGGAUAGCUGCUUUUUCCUUUUUUUGUGCUUUUCUCUAUUUUGGGAAGGUUUACAGUAAACACGCUUCUGUUGUCAUCAGCAGAGAGCUGUCACUGAACCCUUGCAGCGGAAAUGACAGGCCAGCUCCGAACAAGGAGGCCAUGGACAAGGUGGCCUGGGCCCUUGUCCGUCCACCACCUGUCCCUCGGACAUGGGUGGCUCCUAUGCCCCUGACCCCCAUUGGGCCACAUGUGGACCUGGUUUCAGCUGGUCUCGGCAGGGGAGGGCUGGCCUGGAUGAAUCCAGAACAUGCAGCCGGCACAGUCUCCACCCAGCCCUCCUGCACGACUCUUUUCUUGCUCUUUCUUUGCCUUACAAAGUGACAUGUUUUUAGCACAAAGAAAAAAAAAAAUCCUCCCCAGGGCUGGUCUUGAAAUCUCCCAAACUGCCCUUUCUCAGAGCCCUGUGCCUUCCAAAUGCUGCCGUGUGCUGGUGCAUCAGCACCAGCUGAGCCCGUCCUUCCUCUCUCGAGGCCUCUGCGUGGGGUGGUGGCGGCGACGA
ensembl:lncRNA